rnacentral:lncRNA from 1 species
AAUUAAUUUCAAAUUUUAAAAUUUGAAUUUAUAUUUAAAAUUUUGAAUUAAACUUUAAAUUUAAACUGUUGUUCAUUUGAUUGGUAUUUAUAAAUUAUUCUACUAGCUCAUCAACAUAUAUAUAUAGAGCUAGAUUGGUAUACUAUCGGUAGUACGGAGGCCUCCGUGCUACCAAGUUAUUUUCAAUGAUGCGGCUUCCAAAUCGACGAUUGGCUCCGUUAGACUUGAUCUACACUAUUAAAAGUAUUUGAAAACUAAAUUUUAUAAUUUUUCGACAUCAUUUGGCUAAUGAUCAAAAGGUUUCAAAAUUGACAAUUUUAAUGAUAGAUGUGAUGCGUUUGUAAAUUUAACGGUGUAAAACAAUCCAAAUCUGAUAAAUUUUUAUAGAAAAUUCUUUUCACUAUUUAGAGUAAGAUCAGUACCUCUGAUCUUAAAUUUAAAUCUUUUAUCAUCAUUUUUAAGAGAUUUUUAUUUUCAGCCGUUCAUUUUUAGACUACUCGUUUGAUAGAUAUAUGACGCUGAAAAAUUAUGAAAUUUAGUUUUCAAAUACCUUUAAUAGUGUAGAUCAAGUCUAAAGGAGCCGAUCGUCGAUUUGGAGGCCGCAUCAUUGAAAACAACUUGGUAGCGCGGAGGCCUCAAAAUCACUCAUCAAGUUUCGAGGGGAAAACAAGUUAGAAUGAAGAUUGUAUGCAAUCUUUACUUUUCACUUAAAGUGAAUAGUAACCCGGAUUUUCGGAGAGGCCAAUGAGUAGAGAUG